GUGUCAGCCGCCGCGGUAAUACAGAGGUCUCAACCGUUGUUCGGAUUCAUUGGGCGUAAAGGGUGCGUAGGCGGUCGCGUAAGUCAGGUGUGAAAUCCCGGGGCUCAACCCCGGAACUGCAUUUGAUACUGCGUGGCUCGGGUACUGGAGAGGAGACUGGAAUUUACGGUGUAGCAGUGAAAUGCGUAGAUAUCGUAAGGAAGACCAGUGGCGAAGGCGAGUCUCUGGACAGUUACCGACGCUGAGGCACGAAGGUCAGGGGAGCAAACGGGAUUAGAAACCCUGGUAGUCC
rnacentral:rRNA from 1 species